rnacentral:rRNA from 1 species
UGAGCAAUCUGCCCUUCUCAUCGGAAUAAGCGUUGGAAACGACGUCUAAUGCCGAAUACGACCUCCUUUCGCAUGAUCGGAGGUGGAAAGCUCCGGCGGAGAAGGAUGAGCUCGCGGCCUAUCAGCUAGUUGGUGUGGGUAAUGGCCCACCAAGGCGACGACGGGUAGCCGGCCUGAGAGGGUGACCGGCCACACUGGGACUGAGACACGGCCCAGACUCCUACGGAAGCAG